rnacentral:rRNA from 1 species
GAGAUGGGCCCGCGGCCCAUUAGCUUGUUGGUGAGGUAACGGCUCACCAAGGCUUCGAUGGGUAGCUGGUCUGAGAGGACGAUCAGCCACACUGGGACUGAGACACGGCCCAGACUCCUACGGGAGGCAGCAGUGGGGAAUCUUGCGCAAUGCGCGAAAGCGUGACGCAGCAACGCCGCGUGGGGGAAGAAGGCUUUCGGGUUGUAAACCCCUUUCAGUUGGGACGAAGCUUCGUCGAUUAAUAGUCGGCCGGAGUGACGGUACCUUCACAAGAAGCACCGGCUAACUACGUGCCAGCAGCCGCGGUAAUACGUAGGGUGCAAGCGUUGUCCGGAAUUAUUGGGCGUAAAGAGCGUGUAGGCGGCCCGAUUAGUCCGCUGUGAAAGUCCAGGGCUCAACCCUGGAAUGCCGGUGGAUACUGUCGGGCUAGAGUCCGGAAGGGGCGAGUGGAAUUCCUGGUGUAGCGGUGAAAUGCGCAGAUAUCAGGAGGAACACCAAUGGCGAAGGCAGCUCGCUGGGACGUGACUGACGCUGAGACGCGAAAGCGUGGGGAG